rnacentral:tRNA from 1 species
GGAUAGCUCAGAUGGUAGAGC